UGUGGUGUAGCUCAGACGGUAGAGCAGGAGCGCAAAACUCUGUGUCGCUGGUUCGAGUCCAGCCACCAAAG
rnacentral:tRNA from 1 species